GUGGGGAAUAUUGGGCAAUGGGCGAAAGCCUGACCCAGCAACGCCGCGUGAAGGAAGAAGGUUUUCGGAUCGUAAACUUCUAUCCUUGGUGAAGAUAAUGACGGUAGCCAAGAAGGAAGCCCCGGCUAACUACGUGCCAGCAGCCGCGGUAAUACGUAGGGGGCAAGCGUUGUCCGGAAUGAUUGGGCGUAAAGGGCGCGUAGGCGGCCCGGUAAGUCUGAAGUGAAAGUCCUGCUUUUAAGGUGGGAAUUGCUUUGGAUACUGUCGGGCUUGAGUGCAGGAGAGGUAAGCGGAAUUCCCGGUGUAGCGGUGAAAUGCGUAGAGAUCGGGAGGAACACCAGUGGCGAAGGCGGCUUACUGGACUGUAACUGACGCUGAGGCGCGAAAGUGUGGGGAGCAAACAGGAUUAGAAACCCUAGUAGUCC
rnacentral:rRNA from 1 species